ensembl:snoRNA small nucleolar RNA SNORA51
UACCUCCCAGUGCUUACCACAGACAGUGCCACUCUGUACUGUCUGUAUAGGAAGAGGAGGAACAACAAAUUCUUCUAAUUCCCCAUCUAGGGUCCUUGUGGCCUAGAUGGGAGAAACAAAAGGAGAGACAUUU